rnacentral:rRNA from 1 species
AUGAAGAUUGAUAUUUCCAAAGCCUUUGAUACCUUGUCCUGGGAGUUCAUCAUUCAGAUAUUGAUAAGGAGAGCCUUUGGCUGGAGUUGGUGCUCUUGGGUCUGUGGCCUUCUGCGCACUGCGUCGUCUUCUGUGUUGGUCAACGGUGAGACUUGUGAGCCAUUCUCACUUGGCCAAGGUGUGAGACAGGGGGACCCGCUGUCCCCCGCGCUCUUCAUUCUUGCCAUGGACACUUUGCAAGCGAUGGUGCAUUGGGCAGACCAUAACAACCUGUUAUCGGACUUAGGUCUCACCCCCAACGUUCCAAGGGCUUCCUUCUUUGCAGAUGAUGCGGUUCUAUUUUUCAAACCUUACUCGACAGAUAUGGGGGUGAUCUCAGCCCUCCUGAAGCUGUUUGGAGAAGCGUCUGGUCUUCACAUCAAUCUGCAAAAGAGCACUAUCACGUGUGUCAGGGGUGAUGACUCCAUUUCUGCUAGUGUGGCUCGGCACUUUGCCUGUCGGUUGAGGCCGUUUCCGCUUCAGUAUAUUGGGCUGCCACUGUCAAUAUACAGAUUGAGGCGUCAAGACAUUUUGCCACUCGUCGACAAGUUCUCCAACAAGAUGAAGGGAUGGAAACCCAAGCUAAUGGCCCCUGCCGAUCGCUUGACACUCAUCCAAUCGGUACUCAUGGCUCUGCCAAUCCACUUCAUGUCAGUUCUGCCGUUGCCGGCAUGGGUGCUGAAAAUUAUUAACAGGUGGUGUCACGAAUUUUUAUGGAAAGGUGACAGUGAUAUCAAUGGCGGCCAUUGUCUCUCCUACCGUGGUCGAGGGUGUGCACGCCCAAGGAGUGUGGGGGUCUGGGCGUUUUGA